GACGAACCGUGCGAACGUUGUUCGGAAUCACUGGGCUUAAAGGGCGCGUAGGCGGGUGACCAAGUCAGGGGUGAAAUCUUUCGGCCCAACCGGAAAAGUGCCUCUGAUACUGGUCGUCUUGAGGGAGGUAGGGGUCGAGGGAACUGGUGGUGGAGCGGUGAAAUGCGUAGAUAUCACUAGGAACGCCGGUGGCGAAAGCGCUCGACUGGACCUCGUCUGACGCUGAGGCGCGAAAGCCAGGGGAGCAAACGGG
rnacentral:rRNA from 1 species